rnacentral:rRNA from 1 species
UUAAGCGACUAAGCGUACACGGUGGAUGCCCUGGCAGUCAGAGGCGAUGAAGGACGUGCUAAUCUGCGAUAAGCGUCGGUGAGGUGAUAUGAACCGUUAUAACCGGCGAUUUCCGAAUGGGGAAACCCAGUGUGUUUCGACACACUAUCAUUAACUGAAUCCAUAGGUUAAUGAGGCGAACCGGGGGAACUGAAACAUCUAAGUACCCCGAGGAAAAGAAAUCAACCGAGAUUCCCCCAGUAGCGGCGAGCGAACGGGGAGCAGCCCAGAGCCUGAAUCAGUGUGUGUGUUAGUGGAAGCGUCUGGAAAGGCGCGCGAUACAGGGUGACAGCCCCGUACACAAAAAUGCACAUACUGUGAGCUCGAUGAGUAGGGCGGGACACGUGGUAUCCUGUCUGAAUAUGGGGGGACCAUCCUCCAAGGCUAAAUACUCCUGACUGACCGAUAGUGAACCAGUACCGUGAGGGAAAGGCGAAAAGAACCCCGGCGAGGGGAGUGAAAAAGAACCUGAAACCGUGUACGUACAAGCAGUGGGAGCCUCUUUUAUGGGGUGACUGCGUACCUUUUGUAUAAUGGGUCAGCGACUUAUAUUCUGUAGCAAGGUUAACCGAAUAGGGGAGCCGAAGGGAAACCGAGUCUUAACUGGGCGUUAAGUUGCAGGGUAUAGACCCGAAACCCGGUGAUCUAGCCAUGGGCAGGUUGAAGGUUGGGUAACACUAACUGGAGGACCGAACCGACUAAUGUUGAAAAAUUAGCGGAUGACUUGUGGCUGGGGGUGAAAGGCCAAUCAAACCGGGAGAUAGCUGGUUCUCCCCGAAAGCUAUUUAGGUAGCGCCUCGUGAAUUCAUCUCCGGGGGUAGAGCACUGUUUCGGCAAGGGGGUCAUCCCGACUUACCAACCCGAUGCAAACUGCGAAUACCGGAGAAUGUUAUCACGGGAGACACACGGCGGGUGCUAACGUCCGUCGUGAAGAGGGAAACAACCCAGACCGCCAGCUAAGGUCCCAAAGUCAUGGUUAAGUGGGAAACGAUGUGGGAAGGCCCAGACAGCCAGGAUGUUGGCUUAGAAGCAGCCAUCAUUUAAAGAAAGCGUAAUAGCUCACUGGUCGAGUCGGCCUGCGCGGAAGAUGUAACGGGGCUAAACCAUGCACCGAAGCUGCGGCAGCGACACUAAGUGUUGUUGGGUAGGGGAGCGUUCUGUAAGCCUGUGAAGGUGUGCUGUGAGGUAUGCUGGAGGUAUCAGAAGUGCGAAUGCUGACAUAAGUAACGAUAAAGCGGGUGAAAAGCCCGCUCGCCGGAAGACCAAGGGUUCCUGUCCAACGUUAAUCGGGGCAGGGUGAGUCGACCCCUAAGGCGAGGCCGAAAGGCGUAGUCGAUGGGAAACAGGUUAAUAUUCCUGUACUUGGUGUUACUGCGAAGGGGGGACGGAGAAGGCUAUGUUGGCCGGGCGACGGUUGUCCCGGUUUAAGCGUGUAGGCUGAUUUUCCAGGCAAAUCCGGAAAAUCAAGGCUGAGGCGUGAUGACGAGGCACUACGGUGCUGAAGCAACAAAUGCCCUGCUUCCAGGAAAAGCCUCUAAGCAUCAGGUAACAUCAAAUCGUACCCCAAACCGACACAGGUGGUCAGGUAGAGAAUACCAAGGCGCUUGAGAGAACUCGGGUGAAGGAACUAGGCAAAAUGGUGCCGUAACUUCGGGAGAAGGCACGCUGAUAUGUAGGUGAAGCGACUUGCUCGUGGAGCUGAAAUCAGUCGAAGAUACCAGCUGGCUGCAACUGUUUAUUAAAAACACAGCACUGUGCAAACACGAAAGUGGACGUAUACGGUGUGACGCCUGCCCGGUGCCGGAAGGUUAAUUGAUGGGGUUAGCGGUAACGCGAAGCUCUUGAUCGAAGCCCCGGUAAACGGCGGCCGUAACUAUAACGGUCCUAAGGUAGCGAAAUUCCUUGUCGGGUAAGUUCCGACCUGCACGAAUGGCGUAAUGAUGGCCAGGCUGUCUCCACCCGAGACUCAGUGAAAUUGAACUCGCUGUGAAGAUGCAGUGUACCCGCGGCAAGACGGAAAGACCCCGUGAACCUUUACUAUAGCUUGACACUGAACAUUGAGCCUUGAUGUGUAGGAUAGGUGGGAGGCUUUGAAGUGUGGACGCCAGUCUGCAUGGAGCCGGCCUUGAAAUACCACCCUUUAAUGUUUGAUGUUCUAACGUUGGCCCCUGAUCGGGGUUGCGGACAGUGUCUGGUGGGUAGUUUGACUGGGGCGGUCUCCUCCUAAAGAGUAACGGAGGAGCACGAAGGUUGGCUAAUCCUGGUCGGACAUCAGGAGGUUAGUGCAAUGGCAUAAGCCAGCUUGACUGCGAGCGUGACGGCGCGAGCAGGUGCGAAAGCAGGUCAUAGUGAUCCGGUGGUUCUGAAUGGAAGGGCCAUCGCUCAACGGAUAAAAGGUACUCCGGGGAUAACAGGCUGAUACCGCCCAAGAGUUCAUAUCGACGGCGGUGUUUGGCACCUCGAUGUCGGCUCAUCACAUCCUGGGGCUGAAGUAGGUCCCAAGGGUAUGGCUGUUCGCCAUUUAAAGUGGUACGCGAGCUGGGUUUAGAACGUCGUGAGACAGUUCGGUCCCUAUCUGCCGUGGGCGCUGGAGAACUGAGGGGGGCUGCUCCUAGUACGAGAGGACCGGAGUGGACGCAUCACUGGUGUUCGGGUUGUCAUGCCAAUGGCACUGCCCGGUAGCUAAAUGCGGAAGAGAUAAGUGCUGAAAGCAUCUAAGCACGAAACUUGCCCCGAGAUGAGUUCUCCCUGACUCCUUGAGAGUCCUGAAGGAACGUUGAAGACGACGACGUUGAUAGGCCGGGUGUGUAAGCGCAGCGAUGCGUUGAGCUAACCGGUACUAAUGAACCGUGAGGCUUAACCUU